rnacentral:lncRNA from 1 species
GUGUCUUCCUGGCGGUAUGGUCACUUUGUGCUGAGCCCUCAGGUGACAUCCUGGCUGUCUCUGGCUUUUCUGCUGAAACCGGCUCUUGGGCUGCUGACCUACUGCUGUUUUGCAUCACCAAUGACUUAGCAGCAAAGAUAACGGAUAUUGUGCCAGUGACAGAAUUGAAAAAACAAAUAUAUACAGUAUUUCUGCAUUUGUAUAUUUUUCAGUUUCAAAGCAUGGAACGCUAAUCAGUCAUGAUAGGACUUAUCAGGAGCCAGACUAUUUCUGACAAGAAAGAAGGAACUGAAAAGUUUGCCCCGUGGACUUGUGGUUCCCUCUGCUGCUCUUCCCUGACUACCUGCUAAUCCUACUUAUCAGUGCUGCCCUCUCCCCCUUACAUGCUGCUCCCUUUGGCUGGAACACUAUUCUUGAAUGGAGAGUCCCUCCUGGGCCUGGUGCCACCUCAUCAGCCAUCUGAUUUCACUUCCUCAGGAAUUCCCCCAAUUAGACGGCAUUCUUCUGAUUACGCAUUCACAACACCCCAUACUGUUCUCUUGUAGAACUUAUCACAGUUUAUAACAAUAUUUGUGUGAUUAUUUUAUUCAAAUCUUCCUCCCACAGUAAAAUGCAACCUCUGUGAUUUUAUGCAUUCUGUUUGGGACCAUUCCUGUUUGGUUCUCCAUUGUACCCUCAGAACUUAAUGCAGUCAUCUAUGUAAUGAAUACCUUCGAAUGAAUAAAUGAUGAGAGAAGAUACUUGUUGAAAUCUUUUCAGAAAUACCUAAAAUGUGAUUUGUAAAUGUAUUAGUGAUGAGGAUAACAAUAAAAAUCAAAUUUAUAAAAAAAUUCCAAGGACCUUCUAAUUAAAG